rnacentral:lncRNA from 1 species
UGAAUCAAAUAAUAAUCAAAGCUCUAAAUCGAACUUAGGCCAUACUGCCUCAUUUGGGCUACUGUGAAGCCCAAAACGAAGCUUUAGCUCUUUCGAGGCAGAUGUAACCCAAACACUUUGAAAGACCAGUAAAGAUCCAGAAACUGAAUUUAUUCACCAAUGCAUCUUAUUAUCAGCGAUUAACACUAGCCAUAAAAAAAACUAUAAUUCAACUCAUUCAUGAACUAAUCUAAAUUUAAAUUCCCAACUUUCUUAACCAACUAAAAUUUAUAUUUUACAAAGCAUAUACAACCCAUUCUAACAAAUAUCAAUUAAACUAAUAGGACAUUGAAUCAGCUAAUCCUGUCAUGAGGCAACACAUAAUUCAAAAUAAGGAUUAUUCAAACACAGCUGAAAAUAAUGACAUGGAAUCCCUAAGUACAUAGUACUUGAACAAAAGUUUUGCCCAAAAAAGUCUCCACAAAAGAAUUGAAGAUCCAACAUAUAAGGUAUUCAGUCCCAUUUUACACAAACAUCUAUAUGAGCCUUAAACAUUUAAAUAAACACAAAUUUCAUUACAACACAUAGAUACAUGCUCCCAACUUCUCUGAUCAUUUAAAGGUUGAAAAGAGUACCUGGAUAUCAAAACAAGGCAAAAUGGAGUAAGGGUUCAACACAUCAAACUAAUAAAAAUAAUAGCAAAUAUAAGCAACAAUAAGCCUUGAUUCAAACCAUAUUUAACCCAGAAAUCCAGCAGAGAUUUUCUAAAUUUUUUGCUAAAAGAGAAAGAUCAGAAAUAAUCUAGUAAUGUAGAAACCUUUUUUUUUGUGUAUUUUCUAGGGCUCAGAUCUCUAAUCAGUGUGUUUUCAGAACUUUUUUAUGCUAAAAAUGCUGAUGAUGGUCUGUGAGUAUGAGUGAAUGCUUUUCUUUUUAUAGAGUGCACAAAGAAGGCAUCAAAAUAGAAUAUUCUAACCUAAAUUCUGA